CUGCACCAUCACGGCGACGACGUUUCAGGGGGAGGGGCAGGGGGCUCCUGGUGGUGGGCCUGGUGGCUCGCGGUGGCACAAUGGAGUUUGAGGGAGUGUGGGCAAGUCAUCGCGGCGCCUCAUCUUGGGAUUUCGCGGCAUUGGUGUGCUGGGUCACGUAGACGUUGGGACAGGGGAUGGAGGGCGAACCGUCCUCACCUUUGCUUUCGCGAAGCCGUCGAGGCGCCGGAGCCGGCCGUUAGCGGCGACAGCGCCGCGCACCAGGUCCUACACAGUUGUGGCACGCGCGACAUCCAGGCCGACCACUGCCUCGACCGUGGCGCAGCGCGUGCGGGCGUAGCCCGAGAUUGUCACCGGGUGCGUCUGGAUCCGAGACUACGCUGGAGCAUGGAUUUGAGACGAGCCGCCUCGGACGAGGACGGGCAGGUCGCGACAUCGUCGACGUCGUGGGUGAGAAAAGUAAGUUGGUGA
rnacentral:misc_RNA from 1 species